UCUGUGAAGAAGCUCUGCUCUCUCCAUCAAUGGCAAAAUCAGUGGCGACGGCGACUUCCUCCCUCGUGCAAACCCUCAGGCGAUACGUCAAGAAGCCGUGGGAGAUAACCGGACCUUGCGCUCACCCGGAGUACCUCGAAUCCGUUCCGAAGGCGACGGAGUAUAGGAUCCGAUGCCCCGCCACGAUCGAUCAAGAGGCGAUCGUGCCGACGUCGGAUCCCGAGACGGUGUACAACAUCGUGUACCACGGUAGAGAUCAGCGGCGUAACCGUCCGCUGAUAAGGCGAUAUCUGUUGAAGAAGGAGGACGUGGUGAGUGAGAAGAAGACGUUCGAGGAGACGGACUUCCCUAGGGUUUACUUGACGACCACUGUGGAGGAGGAUGAGAACGCACGUGGCGGAGGCUACGAGUAGACAAACAGGUGAGGAGUUCGAUUCCUAUUUGGCAUGAGAUUGUUUGAUUGCUAAGGUCAAAAUGAGAUUGUUUGUAGAAUGAGCUGGAUAUAGUGAAAGUUAUGUUCUUAAUGGCAUUGGAACUUUGAUUUCGAUAUGUUGUUAUAAAAGUUUCUUAAUUGGCGAAUGAAUGUUGAUUUGUGUAAGGUCAAAGUUUUGGCUUGUGUUAAGUGCAUUCAUUUGGCUUCUCCUUUGAUUUCGAGAGCUGUAAACUUUCUGACCAAGUUCAUUGUGUCCUUAACGGUAUGGUUGUUUUUGUAGGGUUUAUAGCUACUUCUCCCUACUGCUUUAGUUUCUUUCAGAGAGCCUGACUUGUCAUUUUGGUCUUAGCUAGAUGAAAUUUCUGAAGCUCAGUUAGUUUAGCUGCGACAUUGUAGAUUGUUACACGGAAUCUUUUUGUAGCAGUAUCAAGAAAGGGCAAGUUUGGAACUGUGAGUAACCUGUUGAGAUAGGUUUAUCUAGCUGCUGGAGUUCUGACCAGUCAGAUAGAUAGUGUCUCUGAUUUAUGUGUUAGCUUACAGUAUAAUACUGCUGCAACAGUUUAGUAAUCCAAAAUUAUUCUUGUACAAGUCUUACUGCCUAAAAUAAGAAAAUUUCAAUCGUCAAAAUACUCGUUUAAAUGGUUAUUGUUAUCUGCCUUCCUUUGUAGGUUUUCUUGUAGUCUCUGACUUGCUGAUGGGCGAAGGACUGCGUGUGAUAUUUCUCUACCGACAGACGAUUUUCCAUGGUUUGCUUUACUAAUAAGGUCUGUAGUAGCUUAAUGUACUGCAAGACACACUAUUUUUCUUCACAGGAAUUAGAUUGUUGUUCAGACAUUCUCCCUAUCUUUACGCAUAUCUAUGAUGAUGAUAAACUCAUGAUUGUUUCAAGUCUUUAGUUUUAUUAGAAAUGGUUGCUUAUGUAAUAACACAGAGAGAAACAGGUAGUAGUGCCUGUGUUCUUGCGGUCCCUUUUUCUGAUUCAUCAGCGACAAGAAAAAGAAAUUAAAAAAAAAAUGAAAAGGAAGAAGAAGCAGAGACUGUGAAAAGCCAGAAUGCCACCAAACUUUGUCUGCAUUGAUUCAUGGAUGUGUGUGUUUUAUAGAUAUUACCCCAAACGACUGUUUCUUUCAACUGUUUUGCUUCUGUCUCUGGCAAGGAUAUGUCAUUGUCUCUCUCUCGGCAUGUGCCUUUUGCAUUUACUGUCGUACAGACAGAGAACGACGGCUCAGGAUUAAAGAGAAAUAACACUCUUGUGUUUGCAAUUUUUGGUCCAAAACGUGUCUGUGAUAAUGCAUUAGUCUUUACGUACACAUAUUCCAACUUUCUUUAUGGUUACUAAAGCGUUUCAACCGCACUGUCUGUGACCGUUUGCACACAAUGUGGGUUUUGCAGUUGGUGAAAGAUAGAGAAUAUGAUGUUUAGUCCCAACUAGAGAAACUUCACAAUCUCUGAUAUACACAUUUAUUCAAGCUACUUGUACAUUGUGGUCUGAUUGGUAAAUCAAAACUACAAUUAUUUAACGUGUUUAGUAGAAGCAAAACAGUAAUAUAUAUCUAGCAGUGUGGUAAGAAAUUAGAAUAUUAUAAUUUUUUAGGUAAAUUCAUUAUUCAGAAUUAGAAAUUCUUGAAGAAAAUGUUCAAAAAAAUUCGCCUGAAAUUAUGUUGAAAUGGAGCUCUAUUUAACUUAAGUAUAAAAAUCAGAAAAACCGUUCAUUGAUACGUAAGCAUGUCGUCAUUUUUCAGAAAAUGGUACAUUCACAGGAAUCUUUAAUUAAGAAUUUGAUAUUUUCUUUUUGCUAUAAGCAAAUUGAUAUUAUUGUAAUUCUGUGUGGACUGAGUGUAUAUCUAAAAUAAAUGCUAGAAAGAAUCAUCAAAACUCUCACUGCCAUUCAUAUAGUGGUCCAUGAAUCUCUCUGUGUAUCAAGGCAUAUUAUAUAUACAAGAUGCUUUUAACAAAAACCUACUCUCUUUCAUUUGGUCCAUCCUCUAAAACCAACCAUUUUAGCUAUCAAUCUAAAUGCCUACUGUAAUAUGUACGACCACAAACAUGUAUAUCAUUAUAGAACUUAAUUGGGAUCAUCUCAUGAUGAUAAAUUUAUAAGGAUACAUAAAUAACUGAAUUGCCUCUGCUCCAAAAGUAUAAGUUGGUACCUAGUUAUUAUUAACUAUGGCUUAGAAUGAUAAAAGGAAAUAGAGAAUGUGUAAUGAAAAUUUGAAUUUUCUUAUAAAAACAUGUUAGUAGAAAGAAAAAAAUGUUAGUAGAAUGGAAGGGAAGAUAUAUAAGUUUCAGGUAAACGGUAACAAAUACAUUGAAGUGGAUUAAUAUUUGAAUCUCAGGAUCUAAAUAAUCAGAUACGUGUGUGUGUGUGUGCGCGCAUAAUUUCUGAACCAAUUAUAAUGUUUUGAAUCUUGAUUAACCAUCUAAUCCUAUCUAUUAUUAGUAUAGGUGGAACCGUGGAAACCCAUAGCAUCUUUUGUGUCCGUCGACAACGUUUCGAUAAGAAUGUCUAGGCUCCUUUUAUACCCUUGUCUGUAAAUUCAUUUCACACCCAACUAAAACCCUAGCUAGGAAUUAGAGAGUAUAUAUAUUAAAUAUAUCAUUUCUUUCUUAGCGUCAAUCAUGUACUGCACACUUCUACUUUAACUUUACGUGUUUCAUCAUCUAGGUUCUUAUCUUUUUCUUCAACUUAUGUGACCAAGAAUCACUCGAUCUGUCUAAACUUAGCGGAUUCAAGCUUACUAGGUUUCCACUGUAAGUUGUAUCAUUCUUUUUCUUUGCAAUAAUUUGUCUGGAGUCCAUGAAUCUCUUUGGAUUGUUUUAGAUGUAUCUAUAUAGAUUUGAAUCACUUGGGAUCUUUUUUUGUCAUACAAAAUUUAUAGCAAAUUAAAUUGUUGAUCUGCAGUUCGAUUAAUUUACUAAAAGCUUCUUUUUCUCAUACUUUCUUGAUCUUGAUCCGUUUUUGUUGCUUACAAUUGAAUUUGCUUUCAUUUCAUGUGAUUACAAAUCUCAAGUUUGAUUUAUUCAAAUGUUUUUUUUUUGUUUCAGAUCCUUCGAUAAAAUACCAAAGGAUGAGAACCAACUCAAUGGGAAUAAAACAAGAAGGCGAUAAUCAAUAUCAAGCCACUUCUUUGUCUUCGUUGAGGCAAAAUCCGAGAAUCGUGAGAGCCUCGAGAAUAUUCGGAGGCAAAGACAGACACAGCAAAGUGUGCACAGUUCGUGGUCUUCGAGACAGGAGGAUAAGAUUGUCGGCUACCACAGCAAUUCAGCUCUACGACCUUCAAGAACGAUUAGGGCUAAGUCAGCCUAGCAAAGUCAUUGACUGGCUCUUAGAAGCUGCUCAAAACGACGUCGCUAUGCUUCCCCCUUUGCAGUUCCCACCUGGUUUUCACCCUAAUCUCACCGCCGCCGCCGGAGAAUCUUUCCCCGGGUAUUUUGAAAGUUUCGACCUUGGAAGCUGCUCAUCAAGAACUGAUACGACCCUGCAGAGAGAAGGUUUGAAUCUUGAGAGUCAUGGGUUUGAUAUUGAUCAUCAUUUUUUCUCGAACUCAAACCAUAGAGACAAGCUUUAUUUCCCUAGCAGCAGCUCUUGUCAUUACAACCUCGGACAACUCCAACAGUCACUUCUGGACCAAUCUGGCAACGUUACUGUCGCAUUGUCCAAUAAUAAUCAUCUUAAUCCAUCGGCGGUGGAAACUAUGAGCUCUCUAUUUCCGAGAUACCCUUUGUUUCAUGAGGGUGGUGAUCAGCUUCAACUGUUUAGCUCAAACUCGAACUCCUCGAAGCAAACAGAUCAUGUCGAGUAGUUCUAGCUGGCAGCUUGGUUUUGGACUCUUUCAUAAAUUGAUGCGUCGGAUCAUGUGGCAGAUGGAUGGUGUAUACUAUAUAGAUCAUUUACAUGGUUGUGGACCUCAGAGUGCCACAAAGCUUUCAGCUGGUCCAUUGAGAUCACACUCUUCGCCAUCGCUGCUUGCUAAAAAUCGAAACUUUUGAUCGAGAAAUCGUCGGUAUGUCACUUCAAUGCAUCUAUUAACCCUUUUAAGGGUUUAGGGCUUAUUAAAUUACGAAACUAACCUUUACUAAUAAAACUCUUUUUGGUAACUGACAUGGAGUGAUUCCAUCCAGACAAAACCGCGAGAAGGCGACCAACGAUAAUCGAACACGUGCACAACACAAUCUUAACAAUCUCAUCUACAAGACUACAACCUCUGGUUCCUCCAUCGAAGAAAAAAAAGCUUCAGACAAAACCAGAGAGAGUGUUACAAAAUGGCGGCUAAUUCAAUAUGCUCGUCUUUAUCAGUGCACUCCAUGGCGAACAAGAAGCCUUCACCUUCCGCAACAAGAACCAUAACCUCAAAGAAGGUAAUACACAAUUCAAAUUUUCGAUUUUUAUAGUCUCUUAUCUGAUAUUUCAUUCAAUCUACCACAGGGCACAACAAGUGGACAGGUGAAGCUACUGACAAGAGUCGAGCAGCUCAAGCUUCUGACCAAAGCCGAAAAGGCUGGACUUUUGUCCUUAGCCGAGAAAUCAGGUUUCUCUUUAUCCACCAUCGAGCGGCUCGGACUGCUCACCAAAGCAGAGGAGUUCGGCGUUUUGUCCGCCGCUACUAACCCGGAAACGCCUGGAACGUUAUUCACACUGAGCCUCGGUUUACUCCUUCUCGGACCGGUUUUCGUCUACUUGGUCCCUGAGGAUUACUCUUGGCAAGUGGUGGUUCAGCUCGUGGUGGCUCUCGUCUCCGUUCUCGGUGGCUCCGCUGCUUUCGCUGCUUCCGGUUUUGUCUCCAAUUUGCAGAAAUCUGAUUAGACCGGUUAUUUCGAUUUUUGUUAAACCGGUCGGGUUUUGUAUUUGAUCUGAAUUGCUUCAAGCUCAUUUCUAUGUUUAUGUAAAUGGUUAAGCCCGUUAUAUAAGGCCCACUAAUAAAUAAGCCCAUGAAAUAUCAACCAAUCCUUUAUUUAAGAGGUUAAAUCUCGGUUUAAUGUCGAACCAAUCCUCAAUAUCAGAAUCGAACCAAAUCAAACCGGUUUCUUCUCCAUUUCACUCAGCCAAAUCUGUGAAGAAGCUCUGCUCUCUCCAUCAAUGGCAAAAUCAGUGGCGACGGCGACUUCCUCCCUCGUGCAAACCCUCAGGCGAUACGUCAAGAAGCCGUGGGAGAUAACCGGACCUUGCGCUCACCCGGAGUACCUCGAAUCCGUUCCGAAGGCGACGGAGUAUCGGAUCCGAUGCCCCGCCACGAUCGAUCAAGAGGCGAUCGUGCCGACGUCGGAUCCCGAG
rnacentral:lncRNA from 1 species